ACGGCGUAGGAAUUCAUAGGAACGUACCCUCAGGUCGGGGAUAGCUACGGGAAACUGUAGGUAAUACCCGAUGAUCUCUGCGGAGCAAAGGUGUGAUUCCGCCUGAGGAGCGGCUUAUGCGAUAUUAGCUAGUUGGCGGGGUAAUGGCCUACCAAGGCAAAGAUGUCUAGGGGGUGUGAGAGCAUGGCCCCCACGACCGGAACUGAGACACUGUCCGGACACCUACGGGUGGCUGCAGUCGAGAAUCUUCCGCAAUGGACGAAAGUCUGACGGAGCGACGCCGCGUGCGGGAUGAAGGCCCUUGGGUUGUAAACCGCUUUCGGAGGGGAUGAAAUCUUCGAGGGUACUCCCUCGAAGUUGACAGAGCCUCAAAAGAAGCACGGGCUAAGUACGUGCCAGCAGCCGCGGUAACACGUACUGUGCGAACGUUAUUCGGAAUCACUGGGCUUAAAGGGUGCGUAGGCGGCAAUCCGAGUCAGAUGUGAAAUGCCUGAGCUUAACUGAGGCACUGCGUUUGAAACUGGACUGCUAGAGUAUUUCAGGGGUGUGCGGAACUGCCAGUGGAGCGGUGAAAUGUGUUGA
rnacentral:rRNA from 1 species